rnacentral:rRNA from 1 species
UACGUAGGGGGCAAGCGUUGUCCGGAAUCAUUGGGCGUAAAGAGCGUGUAGGCGGCCCGGUAAGUCCGCUGUGAAAGUCCAGGGCUCAACCCUGGGAUGCCGGUGGAUACUGUCGGGCUCGAGUCCGGAAGAGGAGUGUGGAAUUCCUGGUGUAGCGGUGAAAUGCGCAGAUAUCAGGAGGAACACCGGUGGCGAAGGCGGAUCUCUGGGCCUUACCUGACGCUGAGGCGCGAAAGCUAGGGGAGCAAACAGG